rnacentral:rRNA from 1 species
AUGAACCGUUAUAACCGGCGAUACCCGAAUGGGGAAACCCAGUGUGAUUCGUCACACUAUCAUUAACUGAAUCCAUAGGUUAAUGAGGCGAACCGGGGGAACUGAAACAUCUAAGUACCCCGAGGAAAAGAAAUCAACCGAGAUUCCCCCAGUAGCGGCGAGCGAACGGGGAGGAGCCCAGAGCCUGAAUCAGCAUGUGUGUUAGUGGAAGCGUCUGGAAAGGCGCGCGAUACAGGGUGACAGCCCCGUACACAAAAGCGCAUGUGUUGUGAGCUCGAUGAGUAGGGCGGGACACGUGGUAUCCUGUCUGAAUAUGGGGGGACCAUCCUCCAAGGCUAAAUACUCCUGACUGACCGAUAGUGAACCAGUACCGUGAGGGAAAGGCGAAAAGAACCCCGGCGAGGGGAGUGAAAAAGAACCUGAAACCGUGUACGUACAAGCAGUGGGAGCACAGGUUUACCUGUGUGACUGCGUACCUUUUGUAUAAUGGGUCAGCGACUUAUAUUCUGUAGCAAGGUUAACCGAAUAGGGGAGCCGGAGGGAAACCGAGUCUUAAUUGGGCGUUAAGUUGCAGGGUAUAGACCCGAAACCCGGUGAUCUAGCCAUGGGCAGGUUGAAGGUUGGGUAACACUAACUGGAGGACCGAACCGACUAAUGUUGAAAAAUUAGCGGAUGACCUGUGGCUGGGGGUGAAAGGCCAAUCAAACCGGGAGAUAGCUGGUUCUCCCCGAAAGCUAUUUAGGUAGCGCCUCGUGAAUUCAUCUCCGGGGGUAGAGCACUGUUUCGGCUAGGGGGCCAUCCCGGCUUACCAACCCGAUGCAAACUGCGAAUACCGGAGAAUGUUAUCACGGGAGACACACGGCGGGUGCUAACGUCCGUCGUGAAGAGGGAAACAACCCAGACCGCCAGCUAAGGUCCCAAAGUCAUGGUUAAGUGGGAAACGAUGUGGGAAGGCCCAGACAGCCAGGAUGUUGGCUUAGAAGCAGCCAUCAUUUAAAGAAAGCGUAAUAGCUCACUGGUCGAGUCGGCCUGCGCGGAAGAUGUAACGGGGCUAAACCAUGCACCGAAGCUGCGGCAGCGACGCUUAUGCGUUGUUGGGUAGGGGAGCGUUCUGUAAGCCUGUGAAGGUGUGUCGUGAGGCAUGCUGGAGGUAUCAGAAGUGCGAAUGCUGACAUAAGUAACGAUAAAGCGGGUGAAAAGCCCGCUCGCCGGAAGACCAAGGGUUCCUGUCCAACGUUAAUCGGGGCAGGGUGAGUCGACCCCUAAGGCGAGGCCGAAAGGCGUAGUCGAUGGGAAACGGGUUAAUAUUCCCGUACUUGGUGUUACUGCGAAGGGGGGACGGAGAAGGCUAUGUUGGCCGGGCGACGGUUGUCCCGGUUUAAGCGUGUAGGUGUGUGUUCCAGGUAAAUCCGGUUCACUUUAACACUGAGGCGUGA